GAUGAACGCUGGCGGCGUGCCUAAUACAUGCAAGUCGAGCGAACAGACGAGGAGCUUGCUCCUCUGAUGUUAGCGGCGGACGGGUGAGUAACACGUGGAUAACCUACCUAUAAGACUGGGAUAACUUCGGGAAACCGGAGCUAAUACCGGAUAACAUGUUGAACCGCAUGGUUCAACAGUGAAAGACGGUCUUGCUGUCACUUAUAGAUGGAUCCGCGCCGCAUUAGCUAGUUGGUAAGGUAACGGCUUACCAAGGCAACGAUGCGUAGCCGACCUGAGAGGGUGAUCGGCCACACUGGAACUGAGACACGGUCCAGACUCCUACGGGAGGCAGCAGUAGGGAAUCUUCCGCAAUGGGCGAAAGCCUGACGGAGCAACGCCGCGUGAGUGAAGAAGGUCUUCGGAUCGUAAAACUCUGUAAUUAGGGAAGAACAAAUGUGUAAGUAACUAUGCACGUCUUGACGGUACCUAAUCAGAAAGCCACGGCUAACUACGUG
rnacentral:rRNA from 1 species